rnacentral:rRNA from 1 species
CAGCAGCCGCGGUAAUACGAAGGUCCCGAGCGUUGUUCGGAAUCACUGGGCGUAAAGGGAGCGUAGGCGGCGUGGUAAGUCAGAUGUGAAAUCCCGGGGCUCAACCCCGGAACUGCAUCCGAUACUGCCAUGCUAGAGGAUUGGAGAGGUAGCUGGAAUUCUUGGUGUAGCAGUGAAAUGCGUGGAGAUCAAGAGGAACACUCGUGGCGAAAGCGAGCUACUGGACAAUAACUGACGCUGAGGCUCGAAGGCCAGGGUAGCGAAAGGGAUUAGAUACCCGGGUAGUCCCUGUCUCUUAUAC